rnacentral:rRNA from 1 species
CCUACGGGAGGCAGCAGUGAGGAAUAUUGGUCAAUGGCCGGGAGGCUGAACCAGCCAAGUCGCGUGAGGGAAGACGGCCCUACGGGUUGUAAACCUCUUUUGUCAGGGAGCAAGGUGCAGGUCGGGACCUGCUGUGAGAGUACCUGAAGAACAAGCAUCGGCUAACUCCGUGCCAGCAGCCGCGGUAAUACGGAGGAUGCGAGCGUUAUCCGGAUUUAUUGGGUUUAAGGGGUGCGCAGGCGGAGGCACAAGUCAUCGGUAAAAUCGCGGGGCUCAACCCCGCUCCGCCGUUGAAACUGUGGCCCUUGAGUGCGCGAAGGGUAGGCGGAAUGCGUGGUGUAGCGGUGAAAUGCAUAGAUAUCACGCAGAACUCCGAUCGCGAAGGCAGCCUACCGGCGCGCAACUGACGCUCAUGCACGAAAGCGUGGGUAUCGAACAGGAUUAGAUACCCCAGUAGUC